rnacentral:rRNA from 1 species
GAUGAACGCUGGCGGCGUGCCUAAUACAUGCAAGUCGAGCGAACGGACGAGAAGCUUGCUUCUCUGAUGUUAGCGGCGGACGGGUGAGUAACACGUGGAUAACCUACCUAUAAGACUGGGAUAUCUUCGGGAAACCGGAGCUAAUACCGGAUAAUAUUUUGAACCGCAUGGUUCAAAAGUGAAAGACGGUCUUGCUUUCACUUAUAGAUGGAUCCGCGCUGCAUUAGCUAGUUGGUAAGGUAACGGCUUACCAAGGCAACGAUGCAUAGCCGACCUGAGAGGGUGAUCGGCCACACUGGAACUGAGACACGGUCCAGACUCCUACGGGAGGCAGCAGUAGGGAAUCUUCCGCAAUGGGCGAAAGCCUGACGGAGCAACGCCGCGUGAGUGAUGAAGGUCUUCGGAUCGUAAAACUCUGUUAUUAGGGAAGAACAUAUGUGUAAGUAACUGUGCACAUCUUGACGGUACCUAAUCAGAAAGCCACGGCUAACUACGUG